CACAGCCCUGCAGAAGAACCAACUGAAAAAAAAAAUUCUCAGGCUUUACAGCAAGCAAACUUCACUAUGAUUUUUACAAUUCUGAUUCUGUAUCCCUGGGGGGGUGUUCCAGUCGCUUCUUUAGGAUGGGGUUUAUUAUGUUGUACAUAUAUUCCAAUGUGUCUGUGUGAAUCUUUGUCUUUUUUGGGGGAGGGCGGAGGGCGGUUCUUUUUUUAGAUAUUGUUCCUAAAAAGGAAUAAAUGCAUACACCUGUUUGUCAAAACACCUUUGCUUUUUGUGCAACUGCUUUAUAUUAACGAUACUAAAAAAAAAAAAAUAGCUUUGGAAAAAAACUACUGUAUGUAAUGGGAUUGCAGAAUAUGCUGCACAUGUAUUUUAUUUAGUUAUCCUUGCUUUAAGAAUAUUGGAUGACAUUUCCUGACAUGUGGGAGGGAGAAGUUCCCUAACCUUUUUUUUUUUUUUUUUUUUUUGGCUUUUAAAUUGUAACAUAGUUGACAGAUUUUUUUUUUUCUGUUCUCAUUGAUCAGAGCAUUUUGUACAGAUUUGUGUGUGUGUGUGUAUGUGUGUGCGCGGGUAUGUGUGUUAAUCUGUUUUUUGAUACAUUCCUAUCCCUUGUGUUUAUCCUACCACUGCCUUCCUGGCUAUCUUAAACCAGUUCAUACAUUUGAAAAGAGAAAAAAAAAUGCUGUUUUAAAAAAUGUUUUCUCCUGCUGCAGUAAAUAUUUUGCAUGAUGAAAUGCCAGGGUCACACUUUCAAAGUUUAUCAGUGAAGUAGUGAUUAAUAAUGGGGAGUUGUCAAAGCUAUUGAACUUUUUGUAUAAAAAAAAAAAAAAGAAAACUUUACAAAGGUGCCAAGAUGUAAAGACAAUUUGUUACUUUUUUUUUUUUUUUUUUUUUCAAAGAAAAGCAUACAUGAGGGAGUUAGUCCCUUGUAUCAGGCAAAUGCACUGUCAGGAAUGAGAAUCCAUCCUCCUUGUCCCUAGAGUCUGUCCUUGUAAGAGAGUGACACUGCCUGCAGUGAACCAGCAGUGAAAUGAAGCAUCAAGGCUUCUGUAUGUGGAAGAGUGACCGCCAGCCUCCCCACCUUCGGACAGCUCUGCCUCGAUUUCCAGCAUCCCAUCAGACCCAGUAAAGAAUACCUUGGAUUCUUCACCCCAAAUCUGAUUGAUGGAAAUCACUAGCUAUUUUAUCAUGAAAAAAAAAA
rnacentral:lncRNA from 1 species